rnacentral:antisense_RNA from 1 species
CUUGAUCGACCCCAGCCACAACGGCCGGUCCUCGGGCCGGUCCUGGCCGUAGGUGGCGAUGAGUGCCUGAGCUUC